GGAGCUCGUGGUCGGAAACUCCACCGAUGUAGCCACUUCCUCGCAUUUGCCAUCGGCUUACCUUCAAGAACUGGCCAGGACUCUGAACCGGGACGCGGUGAAGGUCGUUGUGGCUCGAGUGCGCGGAAGAGGCCAUUGAAGACCGUGGAAUUGCUCGCUAGAAUACGUUCUCCACCGUGGUGCUACUCAUCUCUAUGGGUUCGGGUCUACGCUACCUAGCGACCGGUGAGUCAAACUUCAUCAUACUUGUCAUGUCCUCCGCAUAGUUUAGCAACGUCGAGGCUAGAAUUGGGGCGUAGGAACCUUCGUGUCGUGGCACCGGUGAACCUCGUCGCCGUCGGCAGGGUCCUGCUGCUCGGUUCCUAUAGUGAGGCUGGAGAUGACAACCUGGCCGUCGGUCCCUGGAUGAACAACUUGGAUUAGAAUGGGGCCAUACCGGUUCGAUCAGGUAGAUCCAGACCGUCGAUAUCUGAUCGGGCGUGAUCAGGGUGAGGAGGGUUAUCUGGUUGUGGAUCUUGGAUCCUGCGAGUGAGAACGAAUGUGGGUUCAUCCAUGAUGAGAAUUAAUCGGUAUUGUUGAUCUCGGAUCGCACAGUUGUAGUCGCAUACCGAUUCGUUUAAAGCUUGUUCUAAUCUGGACCACUCAGAUCUAAUCAUGCGGCCAAGCAAAGACGAUACCCCUUUAGCCGGGUGUUUUCUUAAAGAGACCCUCGACUUUAAUCUAUUUAACCCACAGUCUAUCCUUAGUCAAAACUAAUUACAUACAGGUCCUAAACUUUAUAAGAAGCACCCUAUGCUUUUAGAUAAUAUGACCCGCAGCCCAGGGAGGAAAUAAAUUGGAUAAAUUAAUAUAGAAAAUGAUUUCUAGUAUAGAAAUAAUUCCAAAAUCUUGUUUAAAUCAUAACUAAUCCAUUUUAGCUCAUUUUUUAUCCGUUCUAGUUGGAUUAUGUUCGUACUGAUAUUAACUACAAUUUAGUAACCUUAUUUUGUUAUGCAACAUAUUGUCAAAAUUGAGCACUUAAUUUUUUCACCCAUGUUUAACUUAUCCAAGCACAUAAACUUCGGAAACUCAUAUCUCAUUCGUUAUAACUCCGAUUUUAGGGGUUCUCGAAACUAUGCUCUCGUAGCAUCACGUAGAAUAUUCUUACACUAUUUGUUCUCAUGUUUGGUGUACUAUUUUGUUUAUGUACUCCUUGUCUCUCUGUAUGUAUUGCUACAUCUAGCAGUGAGGUCACGAGUCACCUGAAGACCAAUUUGGUGAAUUACCUGGAAUCGCAAGUAUAAGGCAAGUUAUGCCCUUGAUCACUCUUCUUUACCUAAUAAUGUUCUCUAUUCAUCACUGUGACAUGCUAAGGAUAAAUUGAUGGGACCUAAUAGGUUUCCCUAGUUUUGUUUACCCCACACCUUGUAGACAAAUGAACUAUCGGGUAGACUUGCUAUUGCUCUACCUAGUUUUCGGAUUAAUGUUACAUUUGAAUUAUGAUCAUUUUCCAAUCUUGCUGUUUUUUUAAUCAUUGUUCAUGACAAGAUCAUUGUAUUAAUUGGAACAUGGAGCUUAACUUGAGAUAAUAGUGCUACGAUAAGGGUGGUAUUGGCUGACUAAUUAGGAAAGCUAGUGGAGGACUACCUUAUCCUAAAGGGGCAAGGGCGGUAGGGGAGUUGUCGGUAUAUGGAGGUUCUCGGGUUGAUCAUGCUGCGAUGGCUUUUCAGAUGAGGGAUUCCUAUAAUGCUCUCCUCAGAAACCGUAGCGGUUUUUUUUGAAGCUAGUGGAACUUUGUAAAGGCGUCGUAGUGCUACCCUACCUCAUCUCCUUGGUAGAGAUGAAUGGGAAGUCGCGAUCUUUUGGCAGAUGGGUAACACGACUUGUGGCUAAAGGGUGCAACCUCUGCAAUGUGUAAAACUGGUAUAUCAGUUGCGCUCGUGGUCAAGGGCGACUCAGGACUCUCGCAUGAUUAAUUUAUGGAACUAAACUUAAUCUGUCAUUCACAUUGCAUUGUGGGUGUUAUUGUUAAUUGUGAUAUCUUACUUAAUUGAGUUGGUAUCUACUUAUACUUAGUAACUGCUAAUAAAAGUAUGACCAACAUUAAAAGCAAUGCUCAGCUUUAACAAUCUUCUUUGGUAAGCCUUACACUUCACAUGAGCCCCCACCGUAAGUGAGCUCAUGCACAUUAUUCCCCGCAACUUGUUGAGCAAUGAACGUAUGUGAGCUGUAACGCCCCGAAUUUCGAGUUGAUUUUUUUUCAUUCUUUAUCGCUCGCUAAAUUCGGGCGUUACCUCUCUUUCCUAUUUCUUUUCGCUAGAACCCUACCUAUUUCCAAAACUCCAAGUAGAAUAGUAAUAAAACCUUAGGAGUAUUUUAUUUGGAUUGCUGCACCAUGCUGGUCCCUGCAUAUUUUUAUUUGUGAACUAGGUAUUCUAGUGGUGAACUAGAGCUAAAAUAGGAAAAAGGAAAAAUCUUUUCUUUUCCUCUCUCCUCCCUUCCUCCCCUUUCAGCCCAGCUCCCCCUCCCACUUGUGGGCAGCCCAACCGGCCCCCCCUCCCUUUCCCCCCGCUGCGGGCCUGGCGCGACAGCCCAGCCGGCCUCGGCGGCCCAGCCGGCCUCGGCGGCCUAGCCGCCUCUAGCUGCCUCCCCCGCCUUGGGCCGAAUCGGCGCGCGGCGGCCCAUCCGCCCUCCCCGCGUUCUGCGCGCGACGCGCGCGUGGGCGCAACCGCCGCCGCCGCCAUCCCGGGUGGGCCCCACCCGUCAGCCGUUUCUUUUUCUUUCUUCUCUUCUUUUUCUUUUUCCUUCUUUCUUUCCCCUAGCACGACGCGUCUUCCCCGCCCGGCUCGCCCGUCGUUCGGAACCGCUGCCCGCCGCCGCCACCGAUCCCCGCCUGCGGUGAGCCUCUCCCUCCCCUCUCCCCUUCCUUUCCCCCUCCCUCCCCGUUCCCCGAGCUCGUCGGCGCCCUCCCCGCGCCGUGGGCGGCGCUCGCCCCCGACCCCGUGUUCGCCAGCCAUGGCGGCCUGGCGGCCCAGUGCCCCGUCCUGGCCCCGUCCCGGCGCCCCGUCCUGGCCCCGGCCGCCCCUCCCCUCAGCUCGGCCAGCCAUGGCGGCUCGGCAUCCUCGCGCGGUGCGGCGAACUCCGCCCCGCCCGCGCGCGCUCGUCCGUCGGCCUCGCCGGCCCGUGCUCGGCACAGUGGCGCUCGGCCCGGCUUCGCCGGCCCCGGCGCCCUCCCGCGGCGCAGCGGGUCCUGCCCCGUCCGCCCCUCCCCUCGGCGCGCCGGCGCAGCAGCUCGCGCGGCCAUGGCGCGGCUGUGGCGUGCGGCCCGGCGUCGGCCCCCGCUCGGCGCGCGCGGCGGUCCCACCCCGGCCUUCUCUGCCUGCGGUGCUCGCCCCCAGCCCCUGCGCGGCCUCGGCAGCCUCGCGCAGCCCUGGUCCCGGCGUGGCCUCGGCGUGCGCGCGGAGCCCCGGCGCGGCCCGUGCACGCACGGUGCCCCCGGCGAGCUCGCCGCACCCACGGCUCGCGGCCAUGGCGGCUCGGUCCCGCCCGCAUUGGCGUGUCCCGCCCCUGCGCAGCGCGGCCCCGGCCCGGCGCAGCUUCAGCUCGCGCGGCCGUGGUGCCCCUGCGUAGCGCGUGCGCGGUUCGGCCCCGGCGUGUGCGCGACUCGUUCGCGACACGUCAGCGCGGCCUUGCGCGUACGUGCUCGCGUGGUGCACGGUGCGUUUGCGUGGCUCGUCGUGCCCGCGACGCAACGCAUAACGCCCUGUCGAAUCCGCGACACGAUCGUCUACCCCGAGCCACCCGUCUACCCCCCCGUGCAUUCCGUGCGUAGUGAUCGUGUGAUGUAAUCAAUAAAUGGGAACCCAAAUUAGAAAUCGGUUACGUUAGUUAAUUCAUGUAAGUAAUCAUCUACCUCACCUAAUGUCGAUCAACUGGAGUUAGUCAUGAUUCGAAUUAUGCAUGUAGCUAAUCCGUUUGUUAGAACCAAUUGGAAUUAAGUAGAACUAAGGUACGUAGCGUCUAAUUAUUCACCAACCCGUAGCGCGUCUUGGGCAUAAGCUUUAACUCUCGCGAGACCUUUCCCCGCCUCUUUCUAACCAUGGUAAAUUCAUUACUGUAUGCGAUAUUCUAUGCAUGUUUCAUCUACUGGUUCUCUUGUAUGGUGUAUUGUUGGUUUCCUAAUUUCAAUGGAUGAAUGUAUGUAUGUAUGUGUGCACUCGCAUAGAGAACGAUCCGGUUGAAGAGCCCGAGGAACUCGCAGGAGAAGCCCCUGAGC
rnacentral:lncRNA from 1 species